GCGCGAAACCUCCGCAAUGCACGCAAGUGCGACGGGGGGACCCCAAGUGCCACUCUUAACGGGGUGGCUUUUCAGGAGUGUAAAAAGCUCCUGGAAUAAGGGCUGGGCAAGACCGGUGCCAGCCGCCGCGGUAACACCGGCAGCUCGAGUGGUAGCCGCGUUUAUUGGGCCUAAAGCGUCCGUAGCCGGUCCGAUAAGUCUCUGGUGAAAGCCCACAGCUUAACUGUGGGAAUCGCUGGAGAUACUAUCGGACUUGAGGCCGGGAGAGGCUGGAGGUACUCCCAGGGUAGGGGUGAAAUCCUAUAAUCCUGGGAGGACCACCUGUGGCGAAGGCGUCCAGCUGGAACGGACCUGACGGUGAGGGACGAAAGCCAGGGGCGCGAACCGG
rnacentral:rRNA from 1 species